rnacentral:tRNA from 1 species
GCCGCUAUGGUGAAAUUGGUAGACACGCUGCUCUUAGGAAGCAGUGCUAUAGUAUCUCGGUUCGAGUCCGAGUGGCGGCA